UUUUUUGUCAUCGUUUCUGAUUUUCAGCAGACGGGACGCGGCAGAGGACAUUACGUAAUGUCUCCACAAGGAUGCGGCUGAUUUAGCAAGUGUGGCAUGGCCUCUCUGAAAAUAGAACAAUGAAUCCACAGGUGAGGGGCUUAGGCAUCGCGUCCCAAUAGGACUCCACGCCAACCUUUCUGAGGGCUCUCUGAUUUGCCCAGUGCUGAAAGGGAAGUCUACGCUGCUCAAUGACGAAGGAUUUUUCCACGGAAAGAUGGGGAUCCACACGGUGCUAGCUGAUCGUCUCCUUAACGUAUCAAAGUCCUCUGAUCAUCCUCGUUGCCCUCCUCUGAAAGUGUUCCAGUUUAUCUGAAUCCUUCUUAAAGUGCAGUGUCCAGAACUGAACGCAAGACUCAAGAUGAGGCCUAACCAGUGCCGAAUAGAGGGGGAAUUCUCAGAGUUCCAGCCAGUGUGAAGUAAAAAAAGUCCGUGAAAUUUUAAAAAGCAGCCAGUUUAGCAAACAGUCAGGUGCACAAGUCGUGUACAUGACGCUAACCCGCUUGUGGCUUAAAACUUUAGUUUUUCUUAAUCUAGAGCCAGUGUGGUGUAAUGGUUAAGGUGUUGGACUACGACCUGGGAGACCAGGGUUCGAAUCCCCACACAGCCAUGAAGCUCACUGGGUGACCCUGGGCCAGUCACUGCCUCUCAGCCUCAGAGGAAGGCAAUGGUAAACCCCCUCCGAAUACCACUUACCCUGAAAACCCUAUUCAUAGAGUCACCAUAAGUCGGAAUUGACUUGAAGGCAGUCCAUCAUCAUCAUCAGAAUCAUUCAUAGUUGUCCUCAGCGUGCAACUUUCAGUCUAGAUUGAUCCACAAGGGUGGGUGUGGUUACUUGAUACCUGUUUGAAAACCCUCCCCUGCAUUAGAUUAUCCAUCCCUUUUCCUCCCUGCACAUGCCCCAGGUGAAUGAAGAAGUGGUGAUUGCGAUCUUGGCGUAUGCCCAUCCACAAAAUCAUUGGGCAGGUGUGGAUACACGCCCCAUUGCUGGGACCGCCUACAUCUAUUUUCAUCUGUUUUCAAAGGGGCACACUGUGGGCUCAUUAGAAUCAAUCUGCAAAGAGCUUUUCUUUUCGGAAUGAAACCAGCUUCUCAAGAAGCAGUUUUCAGAGGUAAAAAAAUAAGGUGCAAUAGAUCUAGAUUGUGUGUGGCCCAUGUAGAAGAAAACAAAUACUCAAGUCUCCCUUGUUUCUGGAGUAAAAUGUGUGUACACGUCCAUACUCAGAGUAGACCCACACUGAAAUGAAUCAAGUUAGCUGCAUUGUUUUUAGGUGCACGGGUCAUCUUGGAACCAAUAACAACUUCCCAAUAAUAACUCCUGUGUGAGAGACGGGAGGAAUAACUUUUCUUAAAGGGUGCUUGCUAUCUGCCAUUUUUAGAAGUAAUUGUGUUUAAAACAAUAAAGCUUUAAAAUAUGUGUUCAGUUAAUCAGUUUCACUCACAUUUUAGCCAAUUAAUCUAAGUGAUGUAUCAAUUAAAUAAUUCCCUCUAAGAGCGAUUGCAAGUGGUGAGCGCCAACAGGACUGGGGCCAACAAGAGGAAGGUAUCGGCAUGGUCAGGAAGUUAUUGUAUUUCUCUCUGCCCGGACACAAAGCGGGGCUAUUGUGUUUACUUUCUUUCAGUUCAAUACAUACUUAUUGUUCUAAUGGAGCUACUGGGGAUCCAUGGUGGCUCACCAUGCAGACUACCUAUGGCUCUAUGUGCUCUUUGAAAUAUCAGCUUCUCCAGUAACGAGAGCUGCUAACCCUUAUGUGAAACCAGAAGUACGUCAUAUAAAGUAUGGCACUAAUCAGAGGGAUUUAGCAUUGCUGCUGUUCUGCUACUUAAGUACCACCUGAUCCCUUAUAGACUGGCCCAACCACUAAGAUCUUUGGGAGCGCUGCUAUUGGUAGAACUCCAUGGCUCAGAUGCAUUGCUCAUAACAACUAAAAGCCAUGCACUCCCUAUUGUGGGCCCAAGCCCAUGGAACUCCCUCCCAACUGAGAUUAGACAGACACCCUCCUUGCUGAACCUUCAGGCACAUGACAAAUACUUUUUUUUAUUCCAGCAGGCAUUUUAAGAUUGUGCGUUGUUUUAUGAUGUUGUUUUAUUGAUUUAAUUUAUGUAUCACCUGCUUUUAUGCACACUGCUUAGAAAUGCGAAUGAUUAAGUAGUUUAUAAAUGGUUUAAAUAAAAUAAAAAAAAAUACUGUAUUUGGAUUAGCCUCAGCCAGGAUGGGGAUAAACACACUUAAGACAUGUGGCACGUGGGUGGCUAAUCUACUUUCAUUUCAGCUUGCUGGUCCCUUGCCAGAGCAUCAUAACUACUUGUAGGGCUCUCAAUUGCCAAGACUUUGGAAAAUAGCAAUGUCAGCAAUGCCCAUGUUAUUCAAUCCCAGAAUACAUUGUAUUUUCAUGCCUAGUAAAAUGUUUUGCUCUGUAAUCAACCCAAUUA